rnacentral:rRNA from 1 species
AUUGAACGCUGGCGGCAGGCUUAACACAUGCAAGUCGAGCGGAGAUGAGGUGCUUGCACCUUAUCUUAGCGGCGGACGGGUGAGUAAUGCUUAGGAAUCUGCCUAUUAGUGGGGGACAACAUUCCGAAAGGAAUGCUAAUACCGCAUACGCCCUACGGGGGAAAGCAGGGGAUCUUCGGCCCUUGCGCUAAUAGAUGAGCCUAAGUCGGAUUAACUAGUUGGUGGGGUAAAGGCCUACCAAGGCGACGAUCUGUAGCGGGUCUGAGAGGAUGAUCCGCCACACUGGGACUGAGACACGGCCCAGACUCCUACGGGAGGCAGCAGUGGGGAAUAUUGGACAAUGGGCGGAAGCCUGAUCCAGCCAUGCCGCGUGUGUGAAGAAGGCCUUUUGGUUGUAAAGCACUUUAAGCGAGGAGGAGGCUACCUGGAUUAAUACUCUAGGAUAGUGGACGUUACUCGCAGAAUAAGCACCGGCUAACUCUGUGCCAGCAGCCGCAGUAACAC